CUCAGCUAAGAGAAACCAGCUCAUUUAUUCUGAUGGAAGCCAGAGAGAUGACCCAAGCUUCUUUCUCAUCUUCAGCACUGCAUCUAUCAUCACAGCAAGCUGGGCCCUCAAGCAUCCACCAGAGUGCUAUAAAAUAUGAAGUUUAACACCAAGUUGUGGAAAGCCAUGAUGGGCCAGUGAAGAAGGCUUGCUGCUUUUCCAGAGAACCUGAGUUCAGUUCCCAGUACCCACAUCAGACGUCACUCACGACUGUCUGUAACUACAGCUUCAGAGGGUCUGACACCCUCUUCUGGCCUCUCUGUACGCCUACACUCCCAUUCAUGUGCACACAUACAUAUACACAUACAUAUAAUUUAAACAAUAAAUCUUA
rnacentral:lncRNA from 1 species